rnacentral:sRNA from 1 species
AAGAUUUCUAGGGAAAUUCUACUGUAGA